GGAAUAUUGAAGACUCAUGUUAAAAGGAACCACCAGCUUUCAUAUGUUCUCAUGUUCUAUGCAAGGAACUUAAACGUUCGCUUUUUUACAUGGCACAUAUUGCACUUUUACUUUCUUCUCCAACACUUUGUUUUUGCAUUAUUUAAACCAAAUUGAACAUGUUUUAUUAUUUAUUUGAGGCUAAAUUGAUAGUAUUUAUGUAUUAAGUUAAAAUAAGUGUUAAUUCAGUAUUGUUGUAAUUGUCAUUAUUACACAAAAACAUUUUUUUUUAAUUAAAACAAUUUAAAAUAAAUUAUUUAAAAAUUAUAAAAAAUAUUAAAAUUGGCCGAUUAAUUGGUAUCGGCUUUUUGGGUCCUCCAAUAAUCGGUAUCGGCGUUGAAAAAUCAUAAUCGGUCAACCUCUAGUUUUAGUUACCAUUUAGCCAUUUCCCCUUUGUCAAAUCUUAUAGCCCUACUCAAAGAUCAAAGCAUCACAUCCCUUUAACUGAGGGCUUCAUCUUAUUUCUAGGGGCGUGAAGCUGAGUGGGGCACAAUGAUUUGUCAUAAGUAAAAGGUGAUAGGUGUAGCUAGCUGGCUACUAGCGCUUCGCCCACGGCUGGCCAUGUGAACUACAAUUCCGACGCUGUGUUAGAAAGGUCAAUAAUCAUCGCUGGCAAAAUGGUUUUCGAAAUAUAUGUCCCUUAUCUUUCAAAUCAGCGAGAAAGAAUGUUUCCAAUAAAAAAAGAUAGCUAGCACUAACGUUACAGUAAGUUUUGAACAGAUCCAUACUGUGUGUGCCUCCAGUUGACAAACUACACUUCCUCCCCAGUUAGCUUACACACAGGUGUUCAAAGCACGCUAGACAGCUAAUUAGCACAGGUGGCUGCCUCAGUCUUCUGUAAAUAAACCAUGUGACAUGGAGAGAUGGCCAUGUCGGAACACUAACCCUAUAAAGUAGGGUGUCCAAUCAAAAACGCAUCUUUUGAAUAAUGGGUAGAAUUAUAUGUUAAUUGUGUAGAUCAGGGCUGUCCAACCCUAUUCCUGGAGAGCUACCAUCCUGUAGGAACAGGGUCGGAGUGAAAACCUACAGGAUGGUAGCUCUCCAGGAACAGGGUCGGAGUGAAAACCUACAGGAUGGUACACCAGGAACAGGGUCGGAGUGAAAACCUACAGGAUGGUACACCAGGAACAGGGUUGGCCAGCCCUGGAGUAGAUAAUCCUCAAAGAAAACCAACGGUCCAAACCUCAUGUCUCUAGCAUAAUCUGUCCCCCCCCCAAAAAAACGUGGUCAUAAAAAUCAGGAAGAUAGCAUCGUGUCAGCUAGGCUGAAUGCUGUGUGAGAAUGAAGGCUACCUGACAGGCUUAUCAUUGAACUCAUCUUCUCAAAUGUAGAGGAAAUAACACAAUAUAGAGGUAAGAUAGAUUUUGAGACAUGACAUGUAGUAUGUUCAUAUUUUAGUAC
rnacentral:lncRNA from 1 species